UGCCAGACUCCUACGGGAGGCAGCAGUGAGGAAUAUUGGUCAAUGGGCGGGAGCCUGAACCAGCCAUGCCGCGUGAAGGCGAGUGCCCUACGGGCGUUAAACUUCUUUUGUGCGGGAGCAAUGAGGGCCACGUGUGGCCCGAUGAGAGUACCGCACGAAUAAGCAUCGGCUAACUCCGUGCCAGCAGCCGCGGUAAUACGGGGGAUGCGAGCGUUAUCCGGAUUUAUUGGGUUUAAAGGGUGCGUAGGCGGCGCCGCAGGUCAGCGGUGAAAUACCGGGGCGCAACCCCGGGGCUGCCGUUGAAACUGGUUUUCUAGAGUUGGAGAGAAGUAUGCGGAAUUCGUGGUGUAGCGGUGAAAUGCAUAGAUAUCACGAAGAACUCCGAUUGCGAAGGCAGCAUACCGGCUCCAUACUGACGCUGAGGCACGAAAGCGUGGGGAUCGAACAGGAUUAGAUACCCCAGUAAAG
rnacentral:rRNA from 1 species